rnacentral:rRNA from 1 species
AGCGAACGCUGGCGGCAGGCCUAACACAUGCAAGUCGAACGAACUCUUCGGAGUUAGUGGCGGACGGGUGAGUAACACGUGGGAACGUGCCUUUAGGUUCGGAAUAACUCAGGGAAACUUGUGCUAAUACCGAAUGUGCCCUUCGGGGGAAAGAUUUAUCGCCUUUAGAGCGGCCCGCGUCUGAUUAGCUAGUUGGUGAGGUAAAGGCUCACCAAGGCGACGAUCAGUAGCUGGUCUGAUAGGAUGAUCAGCCACAUUGGGACUGAGACACGGCCCAAACUCCUACGGGAGGCAGCAGUGGGGAAUCUUGCGCAAUGGGCGAAAGCCUGACGCAGCCAUGCCGCGUGAAUGAUGAAAGUCUUAGGAUUGUAAAAUUCUUUCACCGGGGACGAUAAUGACGGUACCCGGAGAAGAAGCCCCGGCUAACUUCGUG